rnacentral:rRNA from 1 species
AGUGAACGCUGGCGGUAGGCCUAACACAUGCAAGUCGAACGGCAGCACAGUAAGAGCUUGCUCUUACGGGUGGCGAGUGGCGGACGGGUGAGGAAUACAUCGGAAUCUACUUUUUCGUGGGGGAUAACGUAGGGAAACUUACGCUGAUACCGCAUACGACCUACGGGUGGAAGCAGGGGAUCUUCGGACCUUGCGCGAUUGAAUGAGCCGAUGUCGGAUUAGCUAGUUGGCGGGGUAAAGGCCCACCAAGGCGACGAUCCGUAGCUGGUCUGAGAGGAUGAUCAGCCACACUGGAACUGAGACACGGUCCAGACUCCUACGGGAGGCAGCAGUGGGGAAUAUUGGACAAUGGGCGCAAGCCUGAUCCAGCCAUACCGCGUGGGUGAAGAAGGCCUUCGGGUUGUAAAGCCCUUUUGUUGGGAAAGAAAAGCAGCAGGUUAAUACCCCGCUGUUCUGACGGUACCCAAAGAAUAAGCACCGGCUAACUUCGUG